rnacentral:rRNA from 1 species
GACGAACGCUGGCGGCGUGCUUAACACAUGCAAGUCGAGCGAUGAAGUUUCUUCGGAAAUGGAUUAGCGGCGAACGGGUGAGGAACACGUGAAGAAUCUGCCCUCCACUUUGGGAUAACACCGGGAAACCGGUGCUAAUACCGAAUAUUGAAACAUAAGUGGCAUCACUGAGUUUUGAAAGAAUUUCGGUGGAGGAUGACUUCGCGGCCUAUCAGCUAGUUGGUGAGGUAAUGGUUCACCAAGGCAACGACGGGUAGCCGGCCUGAGAGGGCGACGGGCCACAAUGGGACUGGGACAGGGCCCGGACUCCUACGGGAGGCAGCAGUGGGGAAUAUUGGGCAAUGGAGGAAACUCUGACCCAGCGACGCCGCGUGCGGGAUGAAGGCCUUCGGGUUGUAAACCGCUUUCAGUAGGGAAGAAGCGAAAGUGACGGUACCUACAAAAGAAGCACCGGCUAACUAUGUGCCAGCAGCCGCCGUAA